rnacentral:rRNA from 1 species
GACGUAGGGCGCGAGCGUUGUCCGGAUUUAUUGGGCGUAAAGAGCUCGUAGGCGGCUUGUCGCGUCGUCUGUGAAAUCCCGCGGCUCAACCGCGGGUCUGCAGUCGAUACGGGCAGGCUAGAGUUCGGUAGGGGAGACUGGAAUUCCUGGUGUAGCGGUUAAAUGCGCAGAUAUCGGGAGGAACACCAGUGGCGAAGGCGACUACCUGGCCUGUUUCUUGACGCUGAGGCGCGAAAGCUAGGGGAGCAAACGGG